AUAAAAAAAUACAAUUUCAGUGCAAUAAAGGGAAUUUUCCCCAUUUUAUAUAUUCAUUUAGUUUAUAAUUGUUUAUUCAAACGAUCUUCAGAUGGCUGCAAUAUUGGUUAUAAUUUUAUAUGAAACAAUUACAUAUAAUAGAUCUAUUAUCUAUAGAAUUAAUUAGAUAUAUUGUUCAAUAAGUCUAAGCAGAUUGUAACCUACACAGAUGAUGUAAACUUAAUGUGAAGAACCGCAAGAGACAUUACAGAACUGUAAUGUCUCUAUACAAGAAUGAAGAAUGUCCUUUAUUAUACAAUACAGCAGAAAGAAAAUCCAGUAAGUAAGUAGGUACUUAUACAACCACAUUAAAAUGUAUCUUAACACUUGUAAAAGAGUUUUGGGUUUAAGUUAUUAUACUAAAAACACUUAAUGAUAUCUAUAGAUACAUUAAAUCUCAAGAUAUAAACACAAAUUAAAACACUAACGAUAUUUAAUAACAAAAUAUAGCCUCCAAACCAGGUAUCCUAUUAUGUUUACAAACAAUUCGUAAAUUGAUCGUCUGGGUGACGUCACGAUGACAAUAUUUCAUUUGUCAAUGUCAAAGUUACCAUACAACCUAUAUGGUAUAGGGACCUUGACUGCUGUCAUCUACUAAAUGACACGUGAACUCAUCUUCUCAUCUAUUAAGUGACAGCGGAGCUAAUUUAUCACUAGAAAAAUGCCAACUUAUUGCUGUAAUAUGAACAAAAUCCCCAGAUUGCAGCUUUUAACAAUAAUUUUUACCUUUAGGUACAGUUAAUUUAAAAAUUAUAGC
rnacentral:lncRNA from 1 species